rnacentral:rRNA from 1 species
UUACUGACGCUAAAGCUCGAAGGUGCGGGUAUCGAACAGGAUUAGAUACCCUGGUAGUCCGCACGGUAAACGAUGGAUGCCCGCUGUUUGCGAUAUACUGUGAGCGGCCAAGAGAAAUCGUUAAGCAUCCCACCUGGGGAGUACGCCGGCAACGGUGAAACUCAAAGGAAUUGACGGGGGCCCGCACAAGCGGAGGAACAUGUGGUUUAAUUCGAUGAUACGCGAGGAACCUUACCCGGGCUUGAACUGCAGCGGAAGGAUAGAGAGAUCUUGACGCCCUUCGGGGCCGCUGUGGAGGUGCUGCAUGGUUGUCGUCAGCUCGUGCCGUGAGGUGUCGGCUUAAGUGCCAUAACGAGCGCAACCCUUUUCAUUAGUUGCCAUCAGGUCAUGCUGGGCACUCUGAUGAUACUGCCACCGUAAGGUGUGAGGAAGGUGGGGAUGACGUCAAAUCAGCACGGCCCUUACGUCCGGGGCUACACACGUGUUACAAUGGGUGGUACAGAGAGUCGGUCGUCUGCAAAUGCGAUCCAAUCCUUAAAGCCAUCCUCAGUUCGGAUUGGGGUCUGCAACCCGACCCCAUGAAGCUGGAUCGCUAGUAAUC